CAGGGUGUAUAAUAAUCAUAAUACGGUAAUAAUAAUCAUAAUAAAAACACGGUGAACUAGAAACCCCACUCCACGGAGAAAUGGUUCUUACCUUCCUGCCACCUCCAAACUGUGAUCACAUGUUCAGGUUCCACCCCUACAGACAGCAGAAGCUUCCCAGUCGCGCUAAAGUUAACGUAGCCCACACCUUUAGCAUGGGAGCAACGCAGGAUGGACAGAGUCUGCUUGGUCAUGGCGUCCCACACGUGGAUAGAAGGCGCAAAGCCUGUGACGAAAGACCAGAACUGUAAAGACCAUAAGUCAGUUCUCCAGGACCCAAGGAACCACAGCAGCACAAAGUCACAGCAAUUCAAGACCAGAGGCUUCAAACGGAGUUCAAGAUCACAUCAACUACCGGACCAAGAACCAAAAACCAAAAACCAUCAAAGCAGAUGAUGCUAAUGGGUGUGUGGACUGGGACAUGCUACAUGAUCACACUGGUUCUGUAACAUCUGUCUCUUUUGGGACUCUUCGGGCAGCCAAUUAUCCAAUAGAACCAAACAUUUAUUAGCAUCUUUAUUAGCAACACUGAGCUAAUUCGACAAAAAAUGUUCGUGGACAAGUCCUGGCAUGGACAAACGGCGUCUCCUGUGUGACCAUGCUCUUCACACGUUCAUCAUUCAGGCAGAACUACCACAAAUUGGUAUCAUAGCACUCUAGAUGCUAAGCUAUGCUAGCUUGCUUCAGGGCCAUGCUCGCACCGACGACAUGUAAACCGAUUUCCAAUCAUGCUGCAAAUGUUUCCACAUAGGAAUCACAGACAAGACGCUAACCCGUCUUCAGUGAGUUAAAGCUUUCUAGCGCCCGAUGCUAACACCAAUAGCUAGCGCGUAUUCGUUGUCCUUGUUUUGAAAGUGAACAUGCUAAGCUGCUUCUGCUUGCAUGAAUGUUGUUCUCAUGUGCGUGUUGACAUGGCGAGCAUGAGGCAAGCAGACCUGAACAGGGACCCGGACCCCGGGAUACUCACCAGACAUGUCAGCUUCUACACAAACAACACAAACGUGAGACACAUCAAGUGCGCACAUAGCGGAUUAUCACGCCAAGUGAGGCACGUCUUACCUGGCAGGUCCGUGAUGUCACCUGAUGAAGGGGCGGAGACAACAAGGAAGCAAGAAAAGACAAGCGCCAUGGGCCAAAAGCAGCCAAGGUCAUGCAGCAAUGGUUAAAAAAGUGAUGUGUCAGUGACAAGGACAACCGCGUGGAGGACCGCGUACCCGGCGGUUCCCGGCGCCAAGUUUGAACUCACCGAUCUGCCCCGUGGCGAUGACGUUUUGGUAUUUGGGAUGCUGGUUGACAGUCAGGCAGAGAAUGUCGUCUGUGUGCUCCAGAUAGAAACUCUGAGUUCCUGUUGGGAUGUUGGAAUGUUUACUCGUGGAACGCCGGCGGUGAGAGAUUUACCGACCGGAAGACAGGUUCUGGAUCACCACGGCAGCAGCGGUGUGGAAGAUUAUGUCGGCACCGUCGUUGAGGUAAUGCAGGUUAUUGCGACAGUCAAAUCCUCUGUAGCCAAAAACGUGCUCCAAUUGAAGUUCCUAAGACAAAAAAACGAGGACAAGACUGUCAAAAGGUUGAGACCGGAAAACGGACACGGAACCGGAAACGGCCAUACUGACUUCCACUGCUUUCUUCAUCUUGGUCACGUUGUUCUUCAGAAGUUUUUCAGGCUGUGGUGUUGCGCGACUCACUGAAGGUCUGGAACGUUGAAAACCGGAAUGAGACCAAGAGCAAGAACAUCGCCAACCAAUGAUCAGCGGGUACCUCUCAUCGACAGGAAGUUCCUUGUGCUGCAGAUACCGACUCUCUUGCUGGUCAGCACGUUGUAGAUGUCCACGAAGGAAUCCUGCGACGCCACGGCCAGGUACCUUGGGAGAAGCGUAUGUCGGAGAUGAGCUCUCGCCGGUGAUGGAAGGUCACCAUGUCCUCCAACGUAUCGGCGUUCACAACCAGGAAGCUGCCAUCGUUCAGGCCCACCGCUAGCACUUUGCCAUCUGGCGAGAAGGCGCAGCACCGCCCACCUGACCCACAGACGCCACCGAUCACGUAAAGGCUUGUGAGCAAUGAGGAGUUUUUCCUGAUGUACCUUUUUUAAGCUUACGCACGGCAACCAUGCGGUGAUUGGCUGACAGCUCCCACAUACGCAGGGUUUUGUCAUCGCCAACGGUGGCACAGACAGGAAGUAGCGGGUGAGUGGCCAAACCCCAAACCUCGCCUUCCAUGUGACCCUGAACACAAACAAGCGUCACUUUCCUGUUUGUCGUAUUUAUCCUUGGAUGUCAUCUGACCUGAACCAGCAGUGUCAUUGGGCCGCUCUUGUCAAUCUCCAAAAUUUCUCCGUUCUUGGUCCCAACCAGAAUGUGGCCGUGACCCAGAGUGAUGGCUCUGAUGGACGGGUUGUCUUCCAGGAGCAGGCCUGGUGGGACAAAACCCAACAUGUGAUGCAAUCGAACCACGGCGUCCCACCUUUGGAGGACGGCGAUAGAA